rnacentral:snRNA from 1 species
UCGCUGCCGUGAUCGUGGU